GUGCUUGGGGCAGCUGGCUCAGCCGCCAUGGCCGAGGAUCCAGGAUCCUGAGUGCUGCCUUCACUGUUCCCCUGUGUAUCCAAUCCUCCCACCUUCACAUGUACCAAUGUCUGCAUCUCUCAGUACCCCGGCGUGUUGGCCAAUCUCCUCCCACUGUCACUGAACACCAGGAUGCAGCUGGUGCCCAGUCAGAGCUCCCGUGUGCUCCCUGGGGCCACAGCAGUGACUGCCAUUCUCUCUUCAAGACGCCUGGGAGGUGGGCAAAGCUGUUGCUCAGAUUUGAGUGUUCUGCUGUACACCACAGGAAUCCCUCACGGACAGAUGCAGCAUGGUUUUCUACAUGGAGGAAGAUUUGUUCUUGGAUGAUCUAUGGCAAUAUUUACAUUAGUCUCUGCUAGAGAAAGUGCAUGGAUUUCUUCAACCCACAGUGGAAACUGCUACAUAAUUUCUUGCCUCUAUACAUGCCUCCCACCAACUUCAUUUUUCAGGAUAUAAUAGAAUACUAUCUACCCACUUCAUUUUUACUUAAUUUAAUAACAAUUUCACCGAGCAAUUGAGAACUUUGUGUCAGGCAUAGAUGUCACUAUAUGGGUUUGUCUUUUAAUUCCUAAAGUGGCCUUAUGAGACAGGCUCUAUUACUACCUUUUUGUAUGGAUGAUGAGCAGCUUGCCUAGGUUCAUGCUGCUAGGAAGUGGCCAACAAAGAUUUGAAUCCAGAAUCUGUGCUAUUGACUCUGACACAUUAUUAUUAUUAUAUAACUUUGAUGACAUUGAUAGGCAUGGUGGUCUUCAAAUAAAUGUACAAAGGAUGUGAUGGAAGUGUGGGAGUGAGUAGA
rnacentral:lncRNA from 1 species